rnacentral:rRNA from 1 species
UGGGGAAUCUUGGACAAUGGGCGAAAGCCUGAUCCAGCAAUGCCGCGUGAGUGAUGAAGGCCUUAGGGUUGUAAAGCUCUUUUACCAGGGAUGAUAAUGACAGUACCUGGAGAAUAAGCUCCGGCUAACUCCGUGCCAGCAGCCGCGGUAAUACGGAGGGAGCUAGCGUUGUUCGGAAUUACUGGGCGUAAAGCGUACGUAGGCGGUGACUCAAGUCAGAGGUGAAAGCCUGGAGCUCAACUCCAGAACUGCCUUUGAAACUAGGUCGCUAGAAUCACGGAGAGGUGAGUGGAAUUCCGAGUGUAGAGGUGAAAUUCGUAGAUAUUCGGAAGAACACCAGUGGCGAAGGCGGCUCACUGGACGUGUAUUGACGCUGAGGUACGAAAGCGUGGGGAGCAAACAGGAUUAGAUACCCCGGUAGUCCCUGAGCGGGCUGGCAAGGCGCAU